AUCAAUAAAAGACCUUUUUCCUCCAAUGCCAAACAAAACUACUAGUAGAAAUAAUGCUUAUAAUGCAUAUACUCCAGAAACUGAAUUUGAGCAAGCAAAUUAAUGUCAGUGAAAAGAUGCCAACUGGUGAUAUUGUUGUGAAUGAGAUGCAAAAAGGUAAAGGACAAAAAGAAGCAAAAGCUUAGAAGGAAGAUGGUAGCUAAAAGUUGAGAAUCAAGUGUUAAAUGAAAUGGAAUUGUAAAUAAAUAAAUGAAGUAAAAAAAAAACUAGCCUCAGUCAGUGACUUUGCUUUAAGAAAAUUAAGUCAAAAUUACAGAAAAAUGGAAUUAAUGUGAUGCAUGUCUGUAUCUAUGUCUGCAUUAAGUUAAAUAAACAUCAUCUGAUGAUGUCUUGUUUAGUAA